rnacentral:rRNA from 1 species
UACGAAGGGGGCUAGCGUUGCUCGGAAUCACUGGGCGUAAAGGGUGCGUAGGCGGGGCUUUAAGGCGGGGGUGAAAUCCUGGAGCUCAACUCCAGAACUGCCUUUGAUACUGAGGAUCUUGAGUUCGGGAGAGGUGAGUGGAACUGCGAGUGUAGAGGUGAAAUUCGCAGAUAUUCGCAAGAACACCAGUGGCGAAGGCGGCUCACUGGCCCGAUACUGACGCUGAGGCACGAAAGCGUGGGGAGCAAACAGG